UACAGAGGUCUCAAGCGUUUGUUCGGAUUCAUUGGGCGUAAAGGGCGCGUAGGCGGCGGGGUAAGUCGGGUGUGAAAUCUCAGAGCUCAACUCUGAAAUGGCACUUGAUACUGCUCUGCUAGAGGACUGGAGAGGAGAUUGGAAUUCACGGUGUAGCAGUGAAAUGCGUAGAUAUCGUGAGGAAGACCGGUGGCGAAGGCGGAUCUCUGGACAGUUCCUGACGCUGAGGCGACGAAGGCCAGGGGAGCAAACGGGAUUA
rnacentral:rRNA from 1 species